AUACGGAGGGUGCAAGCGUUGUUCGGAAUUACUGGGCGUAAAGCGCGUGUAGGCGGUCGGGCGAGUCGAAUGUGAAAUCCCCGGGCUCAACCCGGGAAUUGCAUCCGAAACUGCUCGGCUAGAGUCCCGGAGAGGAAGGCAGAAUUCCCAGUGUAGGGGUGAAAUCCGUAGAUAUUGGGAGGAAUACCAGUGGCGAAGGCGGCCUUCUGGACGGUGACUGACGCUGAGACGCGAAAGCGUGGGGAGCAAACAGGAUUAGAUACCCCGGUAGUCC
rnacentral:rRNA from 1 species